rnacentral:rRNA from 1 species
GACGAACGCUGGCGGCAUGCCUAAUACAUGCAAGUCGAGCGGAAUGAUGAGAGCUUGCUCUCUGAUUUUAGCGGCGGACGGGUGAGUAACACGUGGGCAACCUGCCCUACAGAUGGGGGAUAACUCCGGGAAACCGGGGCUAAUACCGGAUAAUUCUUUUCUACACAUGUAGAAAAGCUAAAAGACGGUUUACGCUGUCAUUUAUAGAUGGGCCCGCGGCGCAUUAGCUAGUUGGUGAGGUAACGGCUCACCAAGGCCACGAUGCGUAGCCGACCUGAGAGGGUGAUCGGCCACACUGGGACUGAGACACGGCCCAGACUCCUACGGGUGGCUG